GAGACUGCCGGGGUUAACUCGGAGGAAGGUGGGGAUGACGUCAAAUCAUCAUGCCCCUUAUGUCUAGGGCUGCAAACAUGCUACAAUGGCCGGUACAAAGGGCUGCGAUACCGCGAGGUGGAGCGAAUCCCAAAAAGCCGGUCUCAGUUCGGAUUGGGGUCUGCAACUCGACCCCAUGAAGUCGGAGUCGCUAGUAAUCGCAGAUCAGCAACGCUGCGGUGAAUACGUUCCCGGGCCUUGUACACACCGCCCGUCACGUCACGAAAGUCGGUAACGCCCGAAGCCGGUGGCCCAACCCUUGUGGAGGGAGCCGUCGAAGGUGGGAUCGGCGAUUGGGACGAAGUCGUAACAAGGUAGCCGUAGCGGAAGCUGCGGCUGG
rnacentral:rRNA from 1 species